AUGGCCGAGGCGGCCUUUGCUCACUUCUCCAACGUCCUCGGCAGCACCUCUGAGCGCGACAUCACCCUAGACCUACACGCUCUCCGGGUGCCGCAGUUUGAACUUCUUGAGCUCGAUGCGCCCUUCACCAAGGAAGAGAUAUGGAAUGCCGUCAAGAGUUUGCCGGCCGGGAAGGUGCCAGGCCCCGAUCGAUUCACCUCUGAAUUCCUAGUUGCAUGUUGGGACACGAUCAAGCAUGACUUCUGUGAGGCAUUCGACAAGCUUUACGCCAUGAACGACAGAGGCUUUCAAAAGCUCAAUGAGGCCCUCCUUACGCUGCUUCCCAAACGUGCGGACGCGCAAUCUCUCUUCGACUAUCGACCUAUCAGUCUCAUACACAUCUUCGCCAAGCUCGCCGCGAAGCUUCUCUCCCUCCGCCUUGCGCCACGACUGGGAUCCAUGGUCUCUACUAAUCAAAGUGCGUUCAUCGCGGGAUGUUGCAUCCAUGACAAGUAUCUUCUGGUGCAACAGAUGGCUCGCCUCCUGCACAAC
rnacentral:rRNA from 1 species